rnacentral:rRNA from 1 species
UACGGAGGGGGCAAGCGUUAUCCGGAAUUACUGGGUGUAAAGGGAGCGUAGACGGUGAUGUAAGUCUGGAGUGAAAGGCGGGGGCCCAACCCCCGGACUGCUCUGGAAACUGCCCGGCUAGAGUGCUGGAGAGGUAAGCGGAAUUCCUAGUGUAGCGGUGAAAUGCGUAGAUAUUAGGAGGAACACCAGUGGCGAAGGCGGCUUACUGGACAGUAACUGACGCUGAGGCUCGAAAGCGUGGGGAGCAAACAGG